ACCCACUAACUUUGCUGCAGAUGAGUUCCCUGAAACGUGGCUUGAGACGGUGGUGAAGCCCAAGUUACUUCUCAGGAACUUGAAGGGCUUUUAUUGGAACUGCUGGCUCUCAUUUGUAUCUGUCCAGGGGCUAGAACUGUUGAUGUGUACCGUCAUGUUGGACUCUUCUCCAGUUGUGCGUCUCAUGACAAACCGCAAAGCUCCUUUACAGCAUCACAGAGCACGGACUGAUACCCUCUGGACCCCCGUUCCUUAGGUGGACAUGCUGCUUUGCCCUGUCACAGCCUAAGCUCUGCCAUGAGUCUCCCUUCGAAAUUUUCUACAGCCUCCCAACUGCGCCACCCUCUGGACACCAGCUGUCAACGCGGGAGCCUUUGAGGUGCAGUUCUGAUCCCCACUAUUUUCCUUGGAAGACUGGAGGAGAAGUGAAAUACUAAAGGGGGCAGAGAGUGGACCUAGAACUGGGGAGAAGAGAAAUGUGCUAGGUCCUCCCUGAAGUCAGCUCAGCUGUGGGGUAAAGUGAGAAAGCCUCCGGUUCCUCCAGCUCUCCAUGCUGCCCCAGCAUUUCCGCCACUCCACGCCUCCCCCAAAUGCCCUACUCUCCCCUUUCCCAGGUCUUCUGCCUAAAGUCCUGGUCUUCUGAGCUAUCAGCACUCCGAAUCUGCCUUCCUUCCCGCUCCGCCACCUCUAAAUGACGUGCCUUGGCUUCCUUCCUAUUGAACUUUGUCCUCGUGGUGGUGGAGUCCUUUUUCCAACUGCCAAUAGCGAAGAUAAAAAGUGAGCACAGAGGUGAGCCUACACCGAUUGCACAAGCUGCAAGCCAACCGUCGUCGUCGUAACAUUCCUCACGGGAAUGCAACUUGAUAGAAGAAAGAAUUUGGUUGGCUUUUCAGAGUCUUCACCCUCAGUUGAACUUGGACUAGAUAUCCUCAAUGUAAUCAACCAAAGGAUAGGAUUGGAGCUAGCAACAAAAAGAUUCCAGCUAGCACGUUCCUUCUACAUUUGAAGCAUAGAGAAAAACACUAGAUAUGACUUCUCUAUACUUAAAACUUACUCUGUUUUCUUCUUCACAGAAUUCACCAAUGUGUUUCCUUCUGCCUCUCCUUUUCCUUCUGGGAUGCUCAGUUUCUUUUUCCCAAUUAUGUUUUGCCAUCAAAUUGACUCUUUCUUUCUUAGAGUUGUGUGGUUACAGAAACCACAGAAACCCACAUAAAUCCAAUGCGAUGGCCCACAAGGCAUCCAUAACAUCGGUGGAUUGCAGAGAAAGUAGGUUGUGCAAUAAAGAAUUUUAAACCUUUG